AGGGUUUGAUUCUGGCUCAGGACGAACGCUGGCGGCGUGCUUAACACAUGCAAGUCGAACGAGAAGACAUGAGAAGCUUGCUUCUUAUCGAUUCUAGUGGCAAACGGGUGAGUAACGCGUAAGCAACCUGCCCUUCAGAUGGGGACAACAGCUGGAAACGGCUGCUAAUACCGAAUACGUUCUUUCCGCCGCAUGACGGAAUGAAGAAAGGGAGGCCUUCGGGCUUUCGCUGGAGGAGGGGCUUGCGUCUGAUUAGCUAGUUGGAGGGGUAACGGCCCACCAAGGCGACGAUCAGUAGCCGGUCUGAGAGGAUGAACGGCCACAUUGGGACUGAGACACGGCCCAG
rnacentral:rRNA from 1 species